rnacentral:ncRNA from 1 species
ACACAACUCUGGAGAGCCUCUUUAUGAGCGCCGAAGGUGCAGGGGUAUUUUAUACUCUAAUCUCUCAGGCAAAAGGACAGAGCGA